UACUUGCUUUAGCAGUACAAUACUAAAAUUGGAAAGAUAGAGAGAUUAGCAUGGUGUCUGUGCAACCAUGACAUGCAAAUUUGUGAAGUGUUCCAUAUUUUA